rnacentral:rRNA from 2 species
UACGUAGGGGGCUAGCGUUGUCCGGAAUCAUUGGGCGUAAAGCGCGCGUAGGCGGCCCGAUAAGUCUGCUGUGAAAGUCCAGGGCUCAACCCUGGAAUGCCGGUGGAUACUGUCGGGCUAGAGUUCGGAAGAGGCAAGUGGAAUUCCUGGUGUAGCGGUGGAAUGCGCAGAUAUCAGGAGGAACACCUAUAGCGAAGGCAGCUUGCUGGGACGACACUGACGCUGAGGCGCGAAAGCGUGGGGAGCGAACAGG